AGAUUAAGUUAUUAAGGGCGCACGGUGGAUGCCUUGGCACUAGAAGCCGAUGAAGGACGUUACUAACGACGAUAUGCUUUGGGUAGCUGUAAGUAAGCGUUGAUCCAGAGAUUUCCGAAUGGGGGAACCCAGCAUGAGUUAUGUCAUGUUAUCGACAUGUGAAUUCAUAGCAUGUCAGAAGGCAGACCCGGAGAACUGAAACAUCUUAGUACCCGGAGGAAGAGAAAGAAAAAUCGAUUCCCUGAGUAGCGGCGAGCGAAACGGGAAUAGCCCAAACCAACAAGCUUGCUUGUUGGGGUUGUAGGACACUCUAUACGGAGUUACAAAAGAACAUGUUAGACGAAUCAUCUGGAAAGAUGAAUCAAAGAAGGUAAUAAUCCUGUAGUCGAAAACAUAUUCUCUCUUGAGUGGAUCCUGAGUACGACGGAGCACGUGAAAUUCCGUCGGAAUCUGGGAGGACCAUCUCCUAAGGCUAAAUACUCUCUAGUGACCGAUAGUGAACCAGUACCGUGAGGGAAAGGUGAAAAGUACCCCGGAAGGGGAGUGAAAGAGAACUUGAAACCGUGUGCUUACAAGUAGUCAGAGCCCGUUAAUGGGUGAUGGCGUGCCUUUUGUAGAAUGAACCGGCGAGUUACGAUCUGAUGCAAGGUUAAGCAGCAAAUGUGGAGCCGCAGCGAAAGCGAGUCUGAAUAGGGCGUUGAGUAUUUGGUCGUAGACCCGAAACCAGGUGAUCUACCCUUGGUCAGGUUGAAGUUCAGGUAACACUGAAUGGAGGACCGAACCGACUUACGUUGAAAAGUGAGCGGAUGAACUGAGGGUAGCGGAGAAAUUCCAAUCGAACUUGGAGAUAGCUGGUUCUCUCCGAAAUAGCUUUAGGGCUAGCCUCAAGUGAUGAUUAUUGGAGGUAGAGCACUGUUUGGACGAGGGGCCCCUCUCGGGUUACCGAAUUCAGACAAACUCCGAAUGCCAAUUAAUUUAACUUGGGAGUCA
rnacentral:rRNA from 1 species